rnacentral:rRNA from 1 species
CCUACGGGGGUCAGCAGUGAGGAAUAUUGGUCAAUGGACGCAAGCCUGAACCAGCCAAGUCGCGUGCAGGAAGACGGUCCUAUGGGUUGUAAACUUCUUUUGUACGGGAGCAAAAGCAGCCACGCGUAGCGUUCCGAUAGUACCGUACGAAUAAGCAUCGGCUAACUCCGUGCCAGCAGCCGCGGUAAUACGGAGGAUGAAAGCGUUAUCCGGAUUUAUUGGGGUUAAAGGGUGCGAAGGCGGAAGAUAAAGUUAGAGGUAAAAUUCCGGGGCUAAACCUCGUCGUGCCGUUGGAACUGGUUGUCUAGAGUGUAUGAGAGGUAGGCGGAAUGCGUGGUGUAGCGGUGAAAUGCAUAGAGAUCAUACAGAACACCGAUUGCGAAGGCAGCAUACCG